GGUUAAGCGACUAAGCGUACACGGUGGAUGCCCUGGCAGUCAGAGGCGAUGAAGGACGUGCUAAUCUGCGAAAAGCGUCGGUAAGGUGAUAUGAACCGUUAUAACCGGCGAUGUCCGAAUGGGGAAACCCAGUGUGAUUCGUCACACUAUCGUUAACUGAAUACAUAGGUUAACGAGGCGAACCGGGGGAACUGAAACAUCUAAGUACCCCGAGGAAAAGAAAUCAACCGAGAUUCCCCCAGUAGCGGCGAGCGAACGGGGAGCAGCCCAGAGUCUGAAUCAGCUUGUGUGUUAGUGGAACGGUCUGGAAAGUCCGACGGUACAGGGUGAUAGUCCCGUACACCAAAAUGCACAGGUUGUGAACUCGAAGAGUAGGGCGGGACACGUGGUAUCCUGUCUGAAUAUGGGGGGACCAUCCUCCAAGGCUAAAUACUCCUGACUGACCGAUAGUGAACCAGUACCGUGAGGGAAAGGCGAAAAGAACCCCGGCGAGGGGAGUGAAAAAGAACCUGAAACCGUGUACGUACAAGCAGUGGGAGCACCUUCGGGUGUGACUGCGUACCUUUUGUAUAAUGGGUCAGCGACUUAUAUUCUGUAGCAAGGUUAACCGUAUAGGGGAGCCGCAGGGAAACCGAGUCUUAACUGGGCGUUAAGUUGCAGGGUAUAGACCCGAAACCCGGUGAUCUAGCCAUGGGCAGGUUGAAGGUUGGGUAACACUAACUGGAGGACCGAACCGACUAAUGUUGAAAAAUUAGCGGAUGACUUGUGGCUGGGGGUGAAAGGCCAAUCAAACCGGGAGAUAGCUGGUUCUCCCCGAAAGCUAUUUAGGUAGCGCCUCGUGAACUCAUCUUCGGGGGUAGAGCACUGUUUCGGCUAGGGGGUCAUCCCGACUUACCAACCCGAUGCAAACUACGAAUACCGAAGAAUGUUAUCACGGGAGACACACGGCGGGUGCUAACGUCCGUCGUGAAGAGGGAAACAACCCAGACCGCCAGCUAAGGUCCCAAAGUCAUGGUUAAGUGGGAAACGAUGUGGGAAGGCACAGACAGCCAGGAUGUUGGCUUAGAAGCAGCCAUCAUUUAAAGAAAGCGUAAUAGCUCACUGGUCGAGUCGGCCUGCGCGGAAGAUGUAACGGGGCUAAACCAUGCACCGAAGCUGCGGCAGCGACACUAUGUGUUGUUGGGUAGGGGAGCGUUCUGUAAGCCUGCGAAGGUGUGCUGUGAGGCAUGCUGGAGGUAUCAGAAGUGCGAAUGCUGACAUAAGUAACGAUAAAGCGGGUGAAAAGCCCGCUCGCCGGAAGACCAAGGGUUCCUGUCCAACGUUAAUCGGGGCAGGGUGAGUCGACCCCUAAGGCGAGGCCGAAAGGCGUAGUCGAUGGGAAACAGGUUAAUAUUCCUGUACUUGGUGUUACUGCGAAGGGGGGACGGAGAAGGCUAUGUUAGCCGGGCGACGGUUGUCCCGGUUUAAGCAUGUAGGCUGGUUAUCCAGGCAAAUCCGGAUAAUCAAGGCUGAGGUGUGAUGACGAGGCACUACGGUGCUGAAGUAACAAAUGCCCUGCUUCCAGGAAAAGCCUCUAAGCAUCAGGUAACAUUAAAUCGUACCCCAAACCGACACAGGUGGUCAGGUAGAGAAUACCAAGGCGCUUGAGAGAACUCGGGUGAAGGAACUAGGCAAAAUGGUGCCGUAACUUCGGGAGAAGGCACGCUGGUGUGUAGGUGAAGUCCCUGCGGAUGGAGCUGAGACCAGUCGAAGAUACCAGCUGGCUGCAACUGUUUAUUAAAAACACAGCACUGUGCAAACACGAAAGUGGACGUAUACGGUGUGACGCCUGCCCGGUGCCGGAAGGUUAAUUGAUGGGGUUAUCCGUAAGGAGAAGCUCUUGAUCGAAGCCCCGGUAAACGGCGGCCGUAACUAUAACGGUCCUAAGGUAGCGAAAUUCCUUGUCGGGUAAGUUCCGACCUGCACGAAUGGCGUAAUGAUGGCCAGGCUGUCUCCACCCGAGACUCAGUGAAAUUGAACUCGCUGUGAAGAUGCAGUGUACCCGCGGCAAGACGGAAAGACCCCGUGAACCUUUACUAUAGCUUGACACUGAACAUUGAGCCUUGAUGUGUAGGAUAGGUGGGAGGCUUUGAAGCGUGGACGCCAGUCUGCGUGGAGCCAACCUUGAAAUACCACCCUUUAAUGUUUGAUGUUCUAACGUUGGCCCCUUACCGGGGUUGCGGACAGUGUCUGGUGGGUAGUUUGACUGGGGCGGUCUCCUCCCAAAGCGUAACGGAGGAGCACGAAGGUUAGCUAAUCCUGGUCGGACAUCAGGAGGUUAGUGCAAUGGCAUAAGCUAGCUUGACUGCGAGCGUGACGGCGCGAGCAGGUGCGAAAGCAGGUCAUAGUGAUCCGGUGGUUCUGAAUGGAAGGGCCAUCGCUCAACGGAUAAAAGGUACUCCGGGGAUAACAGGCUGAUACCGCCCAAGAGUUCAUAUCGACGGCGGUGUUUGGCACCUCGAUGUCGGCUCAUCACAUCCUGGGGCUGAAGUAGGUCCCAAGGGUAUGGCUGUUCGCCAUUUAAAGUGGUACGCGAGCUGGGUUUAGAACGUCGUGAGACAGUUCGGUCCCUAUCUGCCGUGGGCGCUGGAGAAUUGAGGGGGGCUGCUCCUAGUACGAGAGGACCGGAGUGGACGCAUCACUGGUGUUCGGGUUGUCAUGCCAAUGGCACUGCCCGGUAGCUAAAUGCGGAAGAGAUAAGUGCUGAAAGCAUCUAAGCACGAAACUUGCCCCGAGAUGAGUUCUCCCUGAGACUUUAAGUCUCCUGAAGGAACGUUGAAGACGACGACGUUGAUAGGCCGGGUGUGUAAGCGCAGCGAUGCGUUGAGCUAACCGGUACUAAUGAACCGUGAGGCUUAACCUU
rnacentral:rRNA from 1 species